UACGGAGGGGGCGAGCGUUAUUCGGAAUUAUUGGGCGUAAAGGGCGCGUAGGCGGCCUGGUCAGUCGAAGGUGAAAUCCCCGAGCUCAACUUGGGAACUGCCUUCGAUACUGCCGGGCUUGAGUCCGGGAGGGGAGAGUGGAAUUCCCGGUGUAGCGGUGGAAUGCGUAGAGAUCGGGAAGAACAUCGGUGGCGAAGGCGGCCUGCUGGGCUGUUGCUGACACUGAGGCGCGACAGCGUGGGGAGCAAACAGG
rnacentral:rRNA from 1 species